UCUUAUCUUCCAAUUCUAAUUCGUCUAAAUUUUCUCUCCCCAGGUGUAGCCGCUUUACCGGAAUGAAAUGCCGGGUCCGUUCAACACAUUUAGCCACUUCCGCGUAUGUCAUACGUUGCGCGUGCGUCAAGUGGUAAAAUGUUCGUCACAUGACCUUUAUGCGUUCCACGCUCAGAAGAAAAACAUGGCCGUGCGUUCCAUAGCAUAAUAGACUGAAAAGUCAAUUUUCUUAUACCUGGUGGUGACAUGCGAACAACUAGAAAUAAAAGACUAUUAAAGAUCAUAUUAUAGUCCCAUAAAAAUCAUGGCAACAAUAAAAUGUCCUCUAACAAAUAGCUAACUCAAAACAUAAUUAAAAUGAAUGAAAAACAACUCCCUAUCUAAGUUGAUCAUUCAUUAUAUCUAUUAUAGCUUGUACAGAAAAAAUAUGUGAUUAUUAAUAACUUCAUAUAUUAACAGUGAUAUAGUGAUAUAUU